rnacentral:rRNA from 1 species
GCUUGCUCUCUGAGAUUAGCGGCGGACGGGUGAGUAACACGUGGGCAACCUGCCUAUAAGACUGGGAUAACUUCGGGAAACCGGAGCUAAUACCGGAUACGUUCUUUUCUCGCAUGAGAGAAGAUGGAAAGACGGUUUACGCUGUCACUUAUAGAUGGGCCCGCGGCGCAUUAGCUAGUUGGUGAGGUAAUGGCUCACCAAGGCGACGAUGCGUAGCCGACCUGAGAGGGUGAUCGGCCACACUGGGACUGAGACACGGCCCAGACUCCUACGGGAGGCAGCAGUAGGGAAUCUUCCGCAAUGGACGAAAGUCUGACGGAGCAACGCCGCGUGAACGAAGAAGGCCUUCGGGUCGUAAAGUUCUGUUGUUAGGGAAGAACAAGUACCAGAGUAACUGCUGGUACCUUGACGGUACCUAACCAGAAAGCCACGGCUAACUACGUGCCAGCAGCCGCGGUAAUACGUACGUGGCAAGCGUUGUCCGGAAUUAUUGGGCGUAAAGCGCGCGCA